GGAAGCCGUGGCCAAAUUUUUUCGCACGCUCAUCCGGAGGAGAUAUUUCUCAGAUAGUUUACCUGCAACAAACACUUGGUCCAUUUCUCCAGUCCCAAAAUCUGUACAGCGUCUUGACGAUACUAUCAGUGACGAGGAACAGUCCUACAGUCGUGCAAGUUUCAGCAGCGAAACAUACAAGUACAACGCACUUCCUCCACUCCCGGCACAGCGUAAUCUUACUCCACCUCCAA
rnacentral:misc_RNA from 1 species